CCUACGGGAGGCAGCAGUGGGGAAUCUUGCGCAAUGGGCGAAAGCCUGACGCAGCAACGCCGCGUGCGGGAAGAAGGCUUUCGGGCUGUAAACCGCUUUCAGCAGGAACGAAAAUGACGGUACCUGCAGAAGAAGGAGCGGCCAACUAUGUGCCAGCAGCCGCGGUGAUACAUAGGCUUCAAGCGUUGUCCGGAUUUAUUGGGCGUAAAGAGUUCGUAGGCGGUCGAGUAAGUCGGGUGUGAAAAUUCUGGGCUCAACCCAGAGACGCCACCCGAUACUGCUUGACUUGAGUUCGAUAGGGGAGUGGGGAAUUCCUAGUGUAGCGGUGAAAUGCGCAGAUAUUAGGAGGAACACCGGUGGCGAAGGCGCCACUCUGGAUCGAUACUGACGCUGAGGAACGAAAGCAUGGGUAGCAAACAGGAUUAGAUACCCUGGUAGUCCAUGCCGUAAACGGUGGGCACUAGGUGUGGGAUUCUAUUAACGAAUUCCGCGCCGUCGCUAACGCAUUAAGUGCCCCGCCUGGGGGAGGUACGGUCGCGAGACUAAACUUAAAUAGAGUAGACGGCGUGAGACGUGCCGACGACGACGACGAGGGAGUAGG
rnacentral:rRNA from 1 species